CCUACGGGAGGCAGCAGUGGGGAAUUUUCGGCAAUGGGCGCAAGCCUGACCCAGCAACGCCGCGUGAAGGAAGAAGGCCCUCGGGUUGUAAACUUCUUUUAUUCGGGACGAAACAAAUUACGGUACCGACUGAAGAAGCAACGGCUAACUACGUGCCAGCAGCCGCGGUAAUACGUAGGUGGCAGGCGUUAUCCGGAUUUACUGGGUGGAAAGGGCGUGGAGGCGGGAGAGCAAGUCAGACGUGAAAUUCCAGGGCUUAACCCUGGAACUGCGAUUGAAACUGUACUUCUUGAGUGAUUGAGAGGCAGGCGGAAUUCCGUGUGUAGCGGUGAAAUGCGUAGAUAUACGGAGGAACACCAGUGGCGAAGGCGGCCUGCUGGACAUUAACUGACGCUGAGGCGCGAAAGCGUGGGGAGCAAACAGGAUUAGAUACCCCUGUAGUC
rnacentral:rRNA from 1 species